GGGUUGGUAGCUCAGUUGGGAUGAGCAUUCCACUGAAGAUGUAAAGGUCCCUUAUUCAAUUCAUAGCCGUCCCG
rnacentral:tRNA from 1 species